rnacentral:rRNA from 1 species
GGGCCCGCACAAGCGGUGGAGCAUGUGGUUUAAUUCGACGCAACGCGAAGAACCUUACCAGGUCUUGACAUCCGGUGCAAGACACUAGAGAUAGUGGGAUAGAUAUGACCGAGACAGGUGGUGCAUGGUUGUCGUCAGCUCGUGUCGUGAGAUGUUUGGUUAAGUCCAGCAACGAGCGCAACCCUUGUCCUUAGUUGCCAUCAUUAAGUUGGGGACUCUAAGGAGACUGCCGGUGUAAAUCGGAGGAAGGUGGGGAUGACGUCAAAUCAUCAUGCCCUUUAUGACCUGGGCUACACACGUGCUACAAUGGGCGGUACAAAGAGAAGCGAAACAGUGAUGUGGAGCAAACCUCAAAAAGCCGUUCUCAGUUCGGAUUGAAGUCUGCAACUCGACUUCAUGAAGCCGGAAUCGCUAGUAAUCGCGAAUCAGCUACGUCGCGGUGAAUACGUUCUCGGGCCUU